rnacentral:rRNA from 1 species
CGUCUAUAUACGUAUAGCAUAUCAAUAAGCGGAGGAAAAGAAACUAACUAGGAUUCCCUCAGUAACGGCGAGUGAAGCGGGAAGAGCUCAAAUUUGAAAUCUUCAAGGUUUUACCUUGACGAAUUGUAGUUUAAAGAAGUGUUUUCUGUUGGAAUUUUGGUAAAAGUUCUUUGGAAAAAGACAUCAAAGAGGGUGAGAAUCCCGUAUUUGACCAUUAUUUCCAGCUUUGUGAUACACUUUCAAAGAGUCGGAUUGUUUGGGAAUGCAGUCCAAAAUGGGUGGUAAAUUUCAUCUAAAGCUAAAUACUGGCGAGAGACCGAUAGCGAACAAGUACCGUGAGGGAAAGAUGAAAAGAACUUUGAAAAGAGAGUUAAACAGUACGUGAAAUUGUCAAAAGGGAAGCGUUUGACACCAGUGUUGUUUUCUCGAAAAUCAAUUAAAAAUGCUGGAUUUUGUGUUGUAUUGACUUUAUCAGCUUUCUGCACUCUUUUUCCUGUCUUUUUUAAUGCACUUUUCGUUUAACAAGUCAACAUCAAUUUCUUUUGCUGUAAAAGAGUCAUUGGAAGGUGGCUUUCUUUUCGGAGAAAGUGUUUAUAGCCUUUGACUUCUGCAAUCGGAGAGAUUGAGGUCUGCAGCGUAGAUCCUUCGGGGUUAGAUACAUUUGUGCUAAGCUAUAGCCUUUCAUAGACAACUUGUUGACUAUGAUCAGUCAUGUAGCUUACUCGCUUAUGUCAUUUUACCUACGCUUAGGAUGUUGAUCUGUAGUGCGUGCGC